UACGGGAGGCAGCAGUGGGGAAUAUUGCACAAUGGGCGAAAGCCUGAUGCAGCUAUGCCGCGUGUAUGAAGAAGGCCUUAGGGUUGUAAAGUACUUUCAUCGGGGAGGAAAAAACAAAACUAAUAAUUUUAUUUCUUGACGUUACCCGAAAAAGAAGCACCGGCUAACUCCGUGCCAGCAGUCGCGGUAAUACGGAGGGUGCUAGCGUUAAUCAGAAUUACUGGGCGUAAAGAGCACGUAGGUGGUUUUUUUAAGUCAGAUGUGAAAUCCCUGGGCUUAACCUAGGAACUGCAUUUUGAAACUGAAAUACUAGAGUAUCGUAGAGGGAGGUAGAAUUCUAGGUGUAGCGGUGAAAUGCGUAGAUAUCUGGAGGAAUACCUGUGGCGAAAGCGGCCUCCUAAACGAAUACUGACACUGAGGGUGCGAAAGCGUGGGGAGCAAACAGGGAUUAGAUACC
rnacentral:rRNA from 1 species